CAGGUGGUGCAUGGUUGUCGUCAGCUCGUGUCGUGAGAUGUUGGGUUAAGUCCCGCAACGAGCGCAACCCUUAUCUUCAGUAGCCAGCAGGUAAAGCCGGGCACUCUGGAGAGACUGCCGGGGAUAACCCGGAGGAAGGUGGGGAUGACGUCAAAUCAUCAUGCCCCUUAUGAUUUGGGCUACACACGUGCUACAAUGGCGUGAACAGAGGGAAGCGAGCCCGCGAGGGGGAGCAAAUCCCAAAAAUAACGUCCCAGUUCGGAUUGUAGUCUGCAACCCGACUACAUGAAGCUGGAAUCGCUAGUAAUCGCGGAUCAGAAUGCCGCGGUGAAUACGUUCCCGGGUCUUGUACACACCGCCCGUCACACCAUGGGAGUCGGAAAUGCCCGAAGUCUGUGACCUAACCGCAAGGGAGGAGCAGCCGAAGGCAGGUCGGAUGACUGGGGUGAAGUCGUAACAAGGUAGCCGUAUCGGAAGGUGCGGCUGGAUCACCUC
rnacentral:rRNA from 1 species